AACGAACGCUGGCGGCAGGCCUAACACAUGCAAGUCGAGCGGGGAGCAAUCCCUAGCGGCGGACGGGUUAGUAACGCGUGGGAACAUACCCUUUGGUACGGAAUAGCCUCGGGAAACUGAGAGUAAUACCGUAUGUGCCCUUCGGGGAAGAUUAUCGCCAAAGGAUUGGCCCGCGUUGGAUUAGGUAGUUGGUGGGGUAAUGGCCUACCAAGCCUACGAUCCAUAGCUGGUUUGAGAGGAUGAUCAGCAACACUGGGACUGAGACACGGCCCAGACUCCUACGGGAGGCAGCAGUGGGGAAUCUUAGACAAUGGGCGCAAGCCUGAUCUAGCCAUGCCGCGUGAGCGAUGAAGGCCUUAGGGUUGUAAGACUC
rnacentral:rRNA from 1 species